rnacentral:tRNA from 1 species
GCCUGAAUGGCUCAGUGGUUGAGCAUCUGCCUUUGGCUCAGGGCAUGAUCCUGGGGUCCUGGGAUCGAGUCCCAUAUCAGGCU